AGUGGCGGUCACAGUGACUCGGAAUUAACUCUCACGUCCGAGGGUAACUUGGAAUUUCCAGGCAUUACAUUAUUUUACACCGUCCAGCCUCUUUUUCCCCAAGGAAGGCAGGGUUUCAUUCUUGUUUAUUCCUCUCACUACUAAAAUCUCUGGUGCUCUUUGCACUUUGUGCUGGGUACCUUUAUUCAGACAGAUAGGCUUCCUAAAGCUGUGUUGGAGCAGGUACCAUGAAUGUGGAAUUGCCCUUUAGAUGGUCUCUCACUAAUACUUAGCAGAUAUUUUUAAGUAAAGGAGUAAUGGCUCUCAUCUAGAACACUUUAAAAGCCAACACUUGCUACUUUAUUUCUGUUUCCAGGAGUAGGUAGUGAUUUUCACUGAUCUUGAAAAGCAAAGACAUUUUUAUUUUUUUAAUCUAGAGAGCCUUUUUUUUUAAAUUACUACUUUUAAACUUAACAUAGGAAGUUUUACUAUACAUAGACAUAAACAUACUGUUGUAGUUUAGAGUAACUUCUAUAUCCCCCCCCCCACAGUUUUCAUCACCUUAAAGAUUUGGGAUGUUUUAAGAGACAAAGGAUAAACAUUAAAUCCACACCUAUAUGUGCCCAAGGAAAUCUCAUUUUUUAAAUGUUAAAGCUUGAAGUACCAGAUAAGGGUUAUUAAAUUUGCAUUAAUUUGCUAACUGACCAGUGAGGCAGUUGUGACCUUUCAGGUAGAGUGAUGGUCUCUUCAAAUGCCCAAAAGCCAGGUGUGGUGCCCACACACAUGUGAUCCCAGACUUCAGGAGGGUGCAGCAGGAGAGUAAGAGUUGAAGGUCAUCCUUGGGUACACUCUUGUUGAAGGCCAGUCUAGGCUACCUGCAGCCCUGUCUGCCCAUCCUGCUAAACACCAGCACUCCCCGUGCUUUCCGCACAGUAGAAAAGCUAUGUCAUGUGCAGGCUUACCGUUUCCAACCUUAGCUUUCCAAUGACAUACUAUUAACUCCAUUUUUCCUUAGUAGACCUACUAUCUCCUAAUAAUGAGCCCAUCUUUGAGGAAUUUAAGAGCUGCCAUUUCCUGAUGGAAAAGGCUGUGACCCUUGUGCUGUCUCCCCUUUGACUUUCUGUUCUGUGAACCAGAUGUCUUGACUCAAGCUUAUAAACCUUCCUUAAGCAGUGACAUUUGCCUUCUUAUUCAUACCGCCUUAAGAGGUGAGCUGUUCCUUCAUGCUUACGCACUGCCUUAGCACUGAAGUAUUUGCGUUAUCUCGUAUAGAAUUUUAUAGCCCAACUAAGAAAGCCUCUUUUAGGUCACCUUUGUGUCUUGUCCAUGGAGCUCCGGGGCACACCUAGUUCCACAUUCUUACAUAGUAACCUUCAUUUAAUCAAAAGUGUUUUUAUUAAUUGCCUGCUGCAUUUGAGGACUUGAAGCAAGAUAAGAGCAGCCAUGGCCUUCAAGUAUUCAUUUAUCUUAGGUUUUAAAUCAAUUUGCAUUUCUCAGUCAUAGUAUCAGUUUGCUUUUGAAAUGUCAGUACCCUGCUGUUUUGUGUUAGUUUGCAUGCCUAGAUUCUUCCAUGCUUGUAGCUAAUGGGUUACUCCCAUUUUUUAUUUCCCUAUCUUGAUUGCUUAUUUUUAUUUGAUCACUUUAAAACUUGAAUAUUAUAUAUAUAUAUAUAUAUACACACACACACAUACAUAUAUAUAUAUAUAUAUAUAUAUAUAUACAUGCGUGUAUGUUAUCAGAUUUGUUUUCUAAACUAUGAUAGUGGCUUUAUUUAGCCUUUGCUCUCACAGCUGAAUGCCUAGUAGCAAACAUGCUAUAAGGAUUUGGGGAUGACUUGGAAAUGUUCCUCAUUAGAUGUGGAUUCUUUUCACACCGUCAAUUUCUUUUCAAUUUGUGUAUUAUGUUAGACCGAGAAAUACAUGCAUUUCUUAGACUUCUAAGGCAGUUUCAUUCAUUUUAUUCAUACUACAAACCUAUGAAACUUAGAUAUAGCAUUUGAAUCUUUUAUGUUAAUGCUCCAUUAAUAUAAUCAUUUAAGUUCUAACUAUAUUGACUAAAAGAUGCUAGUUGAAUGAUGAUGAGACCUAGACAUAAGUGGCCAAGACAAUGAAUAUUGGCUGUGGGUCCCCAGGAUGCUUGUCUCUGCAUUACCCUGUCCAUCUCAUGGGUCAAGCAUUAAACAUCAGUUGAUAGAUAAAGAUAUCCUAAGAGAUGAAGCUCCAGGUAUUAAGUCUGUAACUUUAUAAGAAGAUUCAAACCCAGCUGAUAACCCUGUCAAAAAGCAUAGCCAGCAGUAUGUGGAUUACAGGAGAGUUUAGUGGACUUUUUGGUUGAAUAUUUAUGGUCUGGUUUCGUGUUAAACCUUGUGUAAGGUGAAGUGUGUGGUUUUAAUCGUUUCAAGGGAACAAUGUUAGGUAGCGCCAGAUUCUCAUUGAUAUGUACCCAUCACCACCAUCUGUCUGCAGAGAACCAUCUAUGUUGAAGCUGUACCCACUCAAUACAGCUCUUCCUAGUCCUUGGUAGCUACUAUUGGUACUUUCUGUCUCUGAAUUAUGACGUUUUUAGGCACCCCAUCAAGGUAAACCAUACAUAUUUGUCCAUUUGUGCCUGGCAUACUUAGUGUAUUUCACUUAAUACAAUAUUCAUAUUUUACUGUGUUUUAUUUCUUGUUGAGGUUGAAUAAAUGUCCCAGUUUAU
rnacentral:lncRNA from 1 species